AACAUAUUUCGGCAAACUAUGGGUGACCAUAGGACGCAAAGCUAUAGGGACUUUCAUUAAGAAGUCAGCCAGUUGCACUU
rnacentral:ncRNA from 1 species